CCAAAAUCCCUAAAUCCUUAAACCCUUUCUCCACCAGCCCUACAUGGUUUUUGACCGCAUGGUCGAUGGUGCCAUCUUGAAGUCAUAGACCGCCUCCCUCAUGAAGAGUAUUCUGGAAGCCGUCGCACACUACAAACUCUCCCUCAUUCUCUGGCCCACACACACCUCUCUUCCCUUUUCUCUUUCUCUCUCUCUCUCUUUCUCUCAUUUUCAACAAACCAUUUUUAUUUCUUCUAAAUCCUAAUCACUUUGCGUAGUUGUGUUGUGUGUGCUCCCUUCAACUCACUCACUCAAAUGGAGCGGAAGCAAGGGUUCUUCAUUGUGCUCAAAGACGAGGUGGUUUGUGGCCUCUCGUUGGUGCGAUCACGCGCCAAGAGCCCUGCCAGGAGUGCAUCACCCAUGUCCUUGCUACUCUGCUGUUGCAGGAAGCACCACGUGCCGCCGCCUGAGCUCUUCAUUGCGAGAUCGAGAAGCCUCAGGCUUGCACGUUAUCAGUGACCCUUUUUUAUAUGACUACUCUGGAUAUGGGGCAUCUACUGGCAAGGUAGGCCAUUCUUUGGCAAAUGCAACAUUAUGUGUUCUGUUAUAUUGAAUGGACCACACACACCAACACACACAUAAGCACAAUUUUGUUUUGUUGAAUUUAAAGGGUAAUCCUUGAGCAGGGUACUUUUUAUUCUUUGAUCUGCAAUGCACCUUGCAAUUUCAUUUUGUUUAAUUGUUUUUAUUAUUAUUAUUAUUAUUAUUAUUAUUAUUUUGUCUUGUGUUUGAGGUAAAUGUCAAUAAGAUGCUUGAUAGUGGCUCUGGAUAAAUCCAUGCACACUAUACCUGUUGGGGGCAUGCAACUUACAUUUAUAAGGUAAUAUAUUGAAGGCUAUUGACUAAUGAGAAACAUGCAGCUUACACUCGAGUACAAGGACAAAAUACUAAAUAAUAUAUUAAUAUAUAGGCAAUAUGAUAUAAUCCACUUAUAAAAAUUGAAGCAUGUCACGGAUGUAGGAAAAAUAAUGACUAUGCAAUUUUUUAAAUGUACAGUGGUUCUUUUUUAUGUUGACCAAAAUAUGAAAUCAACUAAAACAAUAAUGCUAAACUAUUUAAUCUACUUGAAUUUAACCUCUUCAUGGAAUCUUUAGCAAGAUUGAAGAAUACUUACUUUUUAAGAUGUCAUUAUUUGGAUUAACUAAUAUUCUGUUCCAUGUAUUGUUUCAUUUGGUCUAAUUGUAAUUUUUUAUUUCAACUCAGCACAUCAAUAAAAUAAAGGUCAAGUGCCUUGUACUUGUAAUACAUGUAAGUAUAUGAUGUACCGAAAUCAUGUUGCUUCUUUUCUCUAUAUUUGUUUCUGUUAACACUUAAAGCAAGUAUAUGGACAAAGCAAAUUACCCAUCAUACUAAAGUUCUUUCCCUUUAUAGGUAGCUAAUAUGAUAGUCCAGUAUGUUAUGGGAAAGAAAAUAAAGAAGGUUUGGGAAUCGGGGAAAUUCUUCACUAGUGAUACUAUUCUCAAAUUAACAUAGUGUAUGGUUGAAGUAAACUUGUAAUGUGACUAUUGUCUAUUCUCGAAAUGAAAAUCAUUUGAAAUGCUUAUGCCUCAAACAUGAACAAGUAGAAACUUCAUAGUGAGAGAGAUUUUCUUAAUGCUUAACCCAGAUUCAUGUUUGAUUAAAUUUUGCUUUAGUUCUACUUACUGCGAAUUGAAUGUUUUGUUAAACAAAUUGUAUCAAAUUUCAUCAUAGGCUAUCAUCUUCUGCAAUUAAACUGAUUUGAAGAUAAUUUUCCCCUUUUGUUCUAGAUUAUAUGUGCCUGGCUUUAUUUAAUUAGUUUGAACUUUAUUUUUGCUUGUAAUGAAAAUAAGCAUUCCAAAAUUAGAUGAAGAAUGUCUAUGUAGGCCAAUAAUUUUUGUAAUCCUACACAAUUUGUAAUCCCUUGUGGAUCAAAGGAGGUGGUCGAUCACUGCAACUUAGAGCUUUACCCCGAUUACAUCCGCCAUCUUUGCAAAUUUAUCCAAGAAAUGGAGAGCAUGACAACCGAGAAGGUGAGAUUGCAACUCACAUUUUAAAAGUGUGAAAAAUAUAUUUAUUUUCUUUUAGUUGUUAUUUUUUAUUGUUGUCCACUUAUUUUUAUCUUAACGGAAAAUAUAUUAUAUAUAUAUAUAUAGUUAAAUUUAUUAGAUUAGUCAGGUUGCAUAAUAUUUAUUUUGUAAGAUAAUAGGUUAAAACAUUAAUCAUCACAUAAAGAUGUUUUGUUUUCAUCAUGUGACUGGUAUUUAUAAGGCUAUGAGUGUUAGGGUUGGACCAACACAGAGAACUGUUCAAGGUAUGUGUUAUAUGUUCUUGACUCUUUUACAUUUGUUAUGUUGUCUAAUUGAUGUUUUAAUUUUGUCCUCUUCAUGUUGCAGACAUAUAUUGAUGUUGAUGGUCAAGAUAGAAAUGCAAAAGUUCUCUUUGAUGAAGAAAAGGUGCAGUUUGUUUCUAUUUUCUAUGAAAUCCAGUGCUUGCUUUAUUGCUAAUUGAAUCCAUCAAUGUGUAUCAAUAUAGUUGUUUAUGUGUUUUACAUUUUUUGAUUCGUCUGUUGUUAAAUAAAUUGUGAAUAAUAGUGACUAGCCAGUGGA